UACGGAGGGUGCGAGCGUUGUCCGGAAUCAUUGGGCGUAAAGGGCGCGUAGGUGGCUUCUCAAGCGUGCGGUGAAAGCCUGGGGCUCAACCCCGGGUCGGCCGUGCGAACUGGGGGGGCUUGAGCACUGUAGAGGCAGGCGGAAUUCCGGGUGUAGCGGUGGAAUGCGUAGAGAUCCGGGAAGAACACCGGUGGCGAAGGCGGCCUGCUGGGCAGUUUUGCUGACACUGAGGCGCGACAGCGUGGGGAGCAAACAGG
rnacentral:rRNA from 1 species